rnacentral:rRNA from 1 species
CCCUUAGAUGUUCUGGGCGGCCCGCGCACUACAAUGGCGUGUGCGGCGAGUGCCGAAGUAGAGUUUUCCGAGGUAUUCUUGCAAUGCUCGUUUUGAUGGGGAUAGACCCUUGCAACUGUUGGUUUUGAACGAGGAAUUCCUUGUAAGCAUGGUUUAUCAUCCGACGCUGAAUGCGUCCCUGCCCUUUGUACACACCGCCCGUCGCUCCUACCGAUGAGUCGUCCGGUGAAGUUCGUAGACCUCGUGAUCGCGGAUCACUGGGGGAAGCAAAAUGAACCUCGCGGUUUAGAGGAAGGAGAAGUCGUAACA